UACGAGGGGGGCAAGCGUUGUUCGGAAUUAUUGGGCGUAAAGGGUCCGUAGGCGGUUUUGUAAGUCAGUGGUGAAAGCCCAUCGCUCAACGGUGGAACGGCCAUUGAUACUGCAAGACUUGAAUUAUUAGGAAGUAACUAGAAUAUGUAGUGUAGCGGUGAAAUGCUUAGAGAUUACAUGGAAUACCAAUUGCGAAGGCAGGUUACUACUAAUUGAUUGACGCUGAUGGACGAAAGCGUGGGGAGCGAACAGG
rnacentral:rRNA from 1 species